GACGAACGCUGGCGGCGUGCCUAAUACAUGCAAGUCGAACGAAGCUGUUUUAACUGGUGCUUGCACCGACUUAAACAACCGAGUGGCGAACGUGUGAGUAACACGUGGGUAACCUGCCCCAAAGCGGGGGAUAACAUUUGGAAACAGAUGCUAAUACCGCAUAACCACAGAAACCACAUGGUUUCUGUGUCAAAGAUGGUUUCGGCUAUCACUUUGGGAUGGACCCGCGGCGUAUUAGCUAGUUGGUAAGGUAAUGGCUUACCAAGGCAAUGAUACGUAGCCGAACUGAGAGGUUGAUCGGCCACAUUGGGACUGAGACACGGCCCAAACUCCUACGGGAGGCAGCAGUAGGGAAUCUUCCACAAUGGACGAAAGUCUGAUGGAGCAACGCCGCGUGAGUGAAGAAGGUUUUCGGAUCGUAAAACUCUGUUGUCAGAGAAGAACGUGUGCGAGAGUAACUGUUCGUGCAGUGACGGUAUCUGGCCAGAAAGCCACGGCUAACUACGUGCCAGCCGCCGCAGUAA
rnacentral:rRNA from 1 species